AGUGAACGCUGGCGGUAGGCCUAACACAUGCAGGUCGAACGGCAGCACAGUAAGAGCUUGCCCUUACGGGUGGCGAGUGGCGGACGGGUGAGGAAUACAUCGGAAUCUACUUUUUCGUGGGGGAUAACGUAGGAAAACUUACGCUAAUACCGCAUACGACCUACGGGUGAAAGCAGGGGAUCUUCGGACCUUGCGCGAUUGAAUGAGCCGAUGUCGGAUUAGCUAGUUGGCGGGGUAAAGGCCCACCAAGGCGACGAUCCGUAGCUGGUCUGAGAGGAUGAUCAGCCACACUGGAACUGAGACACGGUCCAGACUCCUACGGGAGGCAGCAGUGGGGAAUAUUGGACAAUGGGCGCAAGCCUGAUCCAGCCAUACCGCGUGGGUGAAGAAGGCCUUCGGGUUGUAAAGCCCUUUUGUUGGGAAAGAAAAGCAGCAGGUUAAUACCCCGCUGUUCUGACGGUACCCAAAGAAUAAGCACCGGCUAACUUCGUG
rnacentral:rRNA from 1 species